CAAGUUCCGAAAAUUUGAAUAUGGCCUUGCCGAUAACAUACGAAAGUAUGGCGAGACACAUUCUCCAGAUUAUAAUCUCGGCAAUGUUUCGUUACCAGUGUACUAUAGCACCAAUGAUGUAGUCGAUGCUCGGGAUGUUCAGAAGUUGUACGAAACACUACCCAAUGGUCAAAAAUCUUUGAUACAAUCCGACAAUUUCGCGCAUCUUGGUUUCCUGUGGGGAAAUGUAAACUUUGAUAUACAAUAAAAUUCUGAAUUUCAUGAAACAGCAUAGAAAGUAAAGUAUUAUUAUUACUUUGUGUAAGUAAUUUAUGAUUGAUGCUCGCUUUUGUGUUUUUUUAUUAGAAUGUUGUUAUUAAUUUUUGUU